CCGUGGCGAACAGACCAAUGGGCAGCGGCGCUAUUUGGCGCCUACUUUGAGCGGGGGCAACCCGCAGUGGCCUCCGUUUCCCCGCCGCUCCCCCGCCGGUCUCGCGCUGUCGCCAUGUUUGUCGCCGACUGCCGCCGGGAGUUCUACGACGUGAUUGUCAGCCAGCGUGUUCUUCUUCUUGUUGCUUCAGAUGUUGACGCAUUAUGCGCUUGUAAAAUACUUCAAGCUUUGUUUCAAUGCGAUCAUGUGCAAUAUACGCUCGUUCCAGUAUCUGGAUGGCAAGAACUUGAAACUGCCUUUCUUGAGCACAAAGAUCAGUUCAAAUAUUUUGUUUUUAUUAACUGUGGUGCCAACGUUGACCUUCUGGAGAUCUUGCAGCCUGAGGAAGACACUUUUUUUUUUGUGUGCGACAGCCACAGACCUAUCAAUGUAGUGAAUGUUUACAAUGACACACAGAUUAAGCUGUUAGUUAAACAAGAUGAUGAUCUCAAUGUUCCUGCUUAUGAUGAUAUCUUCAGAGAUGAGGAGGAUGAAGAAGAGGACUCAGAGAAUGAAAGUGAUGGGUCAGAACCUUCAGAGAAACGUAGACGUUUUGAAGAGGAUGUAAUAGAGAGAACAAUGAAAAGACGACAGAGGCGAGAGUGGGAGGCACGCAGACGAGAAAUUCUUUUUGACUAUGAGCAAUAUGAAUAUCAUGGGACCUCAUCUGCGAUGGUGAUGUUUGAUCUGGCGUGGAUAAUGUCUAAAGACUUGAAUGACAUGUUGUGGUGGGCUAUUGUUGGCCUAACAGACCAAUGGGUCCAAGACAAAAUCACUCAAAUGAAGUAUGUGACGGAUAUUGGAAUCCUACAGCGACACGUGUCUCGCCAUAACCAUCGCAACGAGGACGACGAAAAUUCUCUGUCCAUUGAUUGCAUGCGGAUAGCGUUUGAAUAUGAUCUGCGCCUGGCACUUUAUCAGCACUGGUCUCUGUAUGAAAGUCUCUGUAACACUUCAUAUACCUCUGCUAGCCUUAAGCUUUGGUCUGUACAAGGGCAGAAGAGGCUCCAGGAGUUUUUGGCUGACAUGGGUUUGCCUUUGAAGCAAGUGAAACAGAAGUUUAAUUCCAUGGACAUGUCUUUAAAAGAAAAUCUUCGGGAAAUGAUUGAAGAGUCUGCAAACAAGUUUGGAAUGAAGGAUUUAAGAGUUCAGACCUUCAGCAUUCACUUUGGCUUUAAGAACAAGUUCUCAGCGAGUGACAUAGUUUAUGCAACAGCUUCUCUCAUGGAGAAUAUAGAGAAAGAGGGGCCUGAAACAACUAAUUUCAUUAAAGCUCUGGACAGUCUCUCAAGGGGUAACCUGGACAAACUGCACCAAGGACUGGACCUAGCCAAAAAGCAGUUGCGUGCCAUUCAGCAGACAGUAGCCAGCUGUAUUUGCACCAACCUUGUAAUUUCUCAGGGGCCUUUUCUCUAUUGCUCUCUCAUGGAGGGCACACCAGACGUGAAACUGUUUUCCAAACCAGUGUCUCUGUGCCUGCUGAGUAAAUACUUACUCAAGUCAUUUGUUUGCUCUACAAAAAACAAGCGCUGUAAAUUGCUGCCCCUGGUGAUGGCUGCACCAAUGGAUGUUGAGCAGGGAACUGUGAUCAUGGUGGGGAUUCCUCCGGAGACAGAAAGCUCUGACAAAAAGAACUUUUUUGGAAGAGCAUUUGAGAAAGCUGCGGACAGUACCAACUCUAGGACUUUACACAACCACUUUGACAUGUCAAUAAUUGAAUUGAAAACAGAAGACCGGAGCAAAUUUCUGGAUGCACUCAUUUCUCUCUUGUCCUAAUGAACGUUCUAAGAAAAUGCGGCGACUUCUAGUGAAAAUAUAAAUUGAAGCGGUGCUUUUUGGCUCCUUGUGCUGGAAGCUGAGGAUCAGAUGCUCCGAAAUUAUUUCGGAUGUUCCAAAGUUCAUGGUGCUGCAGUUGUGAUGUAUUGUCUCGCUUUAUCUUAAACGUACCGGUACGGGCCUGGACUGUUGGUUUUAUGCCUCUUGGGAGGUCAAAAGAAUUUUAACCUUAGAAUUUUAACCCUUAACACAGAUAUUGGACAUUGCUCCUGCUUAAAGAUCCCGUAGUGGCAAACAGUAUCAACUAGGAGUAUUUGCAAAUUGGACUUCUAUUUGUCAAACCUGCUUUCAUUAGUAGGCAUGCCCAUCUGAUGUUUUGUUGUUGACUAAUAACAAAAGAUAGAUUUUUAAGAAGUUCUAUAUUUGUAUUACCAUUAUGUUACCAUUCAAAUGUUCUUUCAGAAUUGUCUUGAAUGCUUUUUGUUUGGUUUUGUUUUCUUUUUUUAUAAGAGACUUUUUGAAACUCUCCUUGAAUUUCUAGAAUGUUGAAACUGUUUUUUAGUACUAUCAGGUUGAGGUCUUGUACUUUAAUUGAAAUAAUUGUUUGUGAGACAAGUUUUAAGAUUUUUAUAUUCCUUUUAUAUAAAGACUUCUUUAUAUAAAAGAUCCUUUUAAAAUCCAAGUACUGAGUAACUGCCAAAUACUGAAUGAAAAAUCUGGGGAACUCUGGUGUCAAUAAAGUGUUUUUAGUCGUGCAUUGUGAUACUGUAUUGUCACUUGUAGCUUGGCUUUGGGAAUAGGUUUUCCUGGAAAGAGUCUAAAGGACUAUGAUGAUUGUGCGUAGGCUGUAGCAUGAUAAAUAUUGACAGCCUAGCUCAACCCUUUUCCAUAACACUUCACUUCGGCCAUAUGGAAUGGUGUUGCUUGUUAGACUUAUCCCGCUGUGCACCGGGUGGGUAUGUAAAUGUGUAUGUUUGGAAUUCUUUGUCUUCUUGCAAUGUUUGCUUGAAUUCUGUGUGACUUUAAUGUUUUCAUGUAUUAUAAUGAAUAUGUAAAGGUUAUGUAUCAUUACAUCAUGCUUUGUACAGAAUUUUAAUACAGGUUAAUUUAAUAUUAAAUGUCAUUUAAAUGUAGCCAACAGAAAGCUAAUUAAACUGUAAAUUUUUAUUCAA